rnacentral:rRNA from 1 species
AACGCGAAGAACCUUACCAGGUCUUGACAUCCUCUGAAAACUCUAGAGAUAGAGCUUCUCCUUCGGGAGCAGAGUGACAGGUGGUGCAUGGUUGUCGUCAGCUCGUGUCGUGAGAUGUUGGGUUAAGUCCCGCAACGAGCGCAACCCUUGAUCUUAGUUGCCAUCAUUAAGUUGGGCACUCUAAGGUGACUGCCGGUGACAAACCGGAGGAAGGUGGGGAUGACGUCAAAUCAUCAUGCCCCUUAUGACCUGGGCUACACACGUGCUACAAUGGACGGUACAAAGAGCUGCAAGACCGCGAGGUGGAGCUAAUCUCAUAAAAACCGUUCUCAGUUCGGAUUGUAGGCUGCAACUCGCCUACAUGAAGCUGGAAUCGCUAGUAAUCGCGGAUCAGCAUGCCGCGGUGAAUACGUUCCCGGGCCUUGUA